rnacentral:tRNA from 3 species
GCCUCAGUAGCUCAGUUGUAUAGAGCAGCCCCCUCCUAAGGGGCAGGUCGCAGGUUAGAGUCCUGCCUGGGGCACCA